UAAUAAAGUAAUAAUAAAUUAAUUCUGAUCGAGAUUCUUUUUUUUUUUUUAAAGAGUGACCAAUAAUAAAAUAUUGAAUUAGAUCACGUUUAUUUUUAAAAUAUUGCAUCUAUUCGAUGUAAUCUUGAUUUUUUCGAGGUUAAGACACAUAACCGGGGAUUUCAUUAGACACGAAUUUUUACAUUGAAAUAAGAGACGUUUAAAAAGAAAAAAGUCACUUUUUGUUCGAAACUGUUUGCUUUUUUAUAAUGUGUAAAUGUUAUUUGACUCGAUAAUUUACGCUUUCAACAUUUUUAGCAUCGAGAGAAUCGAUCGCUCGAAAAUAUUAAUCAAAUAAAGGAAAAAUACUAUAAAUCGUCGACGUAUCGAAAAGAGAAAAGAUUCGAUAUUAAUCGAAACAAACCGUCUUAAGUAGAUCAAUGACAUAGCAUCGAUUUUCUCGAUUGUCAAUGAAGUUCGCGGUCGAUGACACGGAACAGAAUAAGAUGAUCGCAUCGAGAAUCGAUAUUAACGAUACUGCAUAGAGAAAAGCAGUUUCUGUGACCUUUGUUUUCGCAUAGGAGAAAAAUACGAGAAACAGAAAGAACUCGAUAAAUUCAAAUCGUUGGAGAUACAAGUAUCCCCGAUUUUAUCGCUGGUUGGUGAACGAAUUUCGUGCGUCAUUACUGUGUGUACAUGUUACAUGAUAUUUCCUUUUCGCGCGUGGCCGAAAUAAUAAGAAAGCAAUAACGUUAAAAAGAUUACAAGGCAAAUAUGAUUAUAGUUCUGCGUAAUUUCUUCUGUAUCCCCAGCUCUUCUUUCCAGUUUUAGCGUGUCAUAAGAAGCUUUCUUACCUCAUCUCCGGUGUUGGCGAGUGCUGGUCCCACGGGUCUCUUGCUGGGGCCCAUGGGAUAUGCGGAACAGCGGGGUGCGGAGAUACGCGAACGCGGAGGUCACCAUUGACGCAAAUCCAUUUGACGAUCACGUGACCGGCCGCACCAACCUGAACACAAUGCGCGCGGACGCCACGACAGCACCACCUUUCAUCAAAUCCUCUCCUCCGCUCCUGUUUGCAACCGUAAAUACACGGUGAGAACAAUUAUGUAGAACUCGACCCACCCACGAAAAUAAUAUGUAAUUAAAGAGUUAAGAAUCGAUCGUUUAUCGAAUGCCAAUCAAAAUAUAUAUACCUGCGUGAUA